rnacentral:lncRNA from 1 species
UGUUGCAGAAUAUAAUUUAUAUGCGGAUAUCCGAGGUCAUUUCGUGCUCAUAAUACCGAACCUAAUAUCAAUACUAAGCAGAAAUGUCGGGAUGCAUAUAGAGAGUAAAUUGCGCAAAAAAUGACUGAGAGGAUAUUUUUGAUUUAUAUUAAAAUCCGUUACGUAACGAGUAAGCCGUACAAAUUAAGAGAGCUGCCGCACAAAGUGAUUUGUUCCAUUAUAAUUUUCACAACGGUUUUUAUAGAGAUGUUAUAGCAGCAGGCUUGCAUGGCUUGCAGGCCAACGAAAUCGUGUGUGACAGUACACGAAAACAUCACGUGAUUUCUUAUUCAUUUACAACUGCCGGUUUAAAGCAAGUACGCUAUCCGUAAUGUUAUGUGACAGGUUGAAUUGAUUUGUAAACCGCUGCCGCCGGGUAUGAAAUCGUUUUGUGUGGCAGUGCCCUAAAUGUGUUCGGUCAGGUGUUCCUUAUAAACUGUGUGUCGGCAUCGAAUCGAGUCACCUAUUCGGGCACUAUUUUUUAUAAUAUUAAUUUUUCCCGUCCUUCCCUUUUUUCGAUAUUUUUUGUUAUGAAAUUGUUCCUGUUUAGAGCUCAAAGAAUGAAGGCUUUUUCUUUGAAGGAUGUUGGAACAUGUCAAAGCGGGAGAAAUGAUAAAAUUUUCCAAAUCCAACUUAAAAAUUAUGUUGUCAUCAUUUAUCAUGCUUUCUAUGGUUCGUUUGUAGGGGGUGUAUCACUGCUAUUAGGAUUCUAAUAUUGAAUAUGUAAGGUUCAAUUAAGCGCGGAGUCUGGUGAACUCAUUUUCGGAGAGUUUUUCAAGGGAGGAUUUUUUACACUAUAGAAUAAGGCGCAUGCACCGCAUAAUGAACCGUUGGAGAGGUUCAGCCACGCGUUGGUCUAAUAGAACUUCAAAAAUGGAAGCAGCAAAUGCAGCGUUUACCAUAAUCCUCGGUUAUCAAUACACAAAGAGCAGCGGCCACUAAAUUAAAAGAAAAGAUAUGCAGUGGUGGCCAGAUAAAUGUUACAAUAGAGCCCUGUAACAAACUCGAUUCGAAAGCACUCGAACAUGGUUGCGUUUAGAAGUUCGGUUAUCAAAAUUGAACAAAAUUUGGAAGAAAAUGCGCAUGAAGUGAUUUUCAGUAGCGAUUGAAGUGUUAAACAGUGAAAAUGUGGAAGCUACAAUAUUGAAGUGAAGAGACGAGAAUCUGUCAUCGACCCCAAUUGUGAAGGAAGUAAGAUGUAGUCAUGUCUCUGCUUCUAAAAGGAGAAAGUCGAUCGAAUAACGACGGAGCAAGAGCAUCUUGUUGUAAAGAAGAUUUGCCUAAUCUCAUAUUACGAUUGUAGUAAUUUGGCACCGAUUGAAGGUUCACUUAACCCAGUUACCUACAUAAGCAUAAUAAGAAAUUAUUUGAUUAUUGGGAGCCAUCUAUCGGUGGGUUGUUUUCUAUGAAAACUUCAAAACAAAAUCGAGCUUAAAUCUACCAACAAAAGAAACGUGGAACUCGAUAAAUCUAGAAAAUUGAUUUAAUGCUAGAUAGAAUCAAGGCAAUAUUGGAGGCUGGGGUUGGUCUCAGCAAAUAUUAAUGUUAAUAUUUAUAAGCAAUCUAAAAUAUAUUUUUAUUAUUUUCACUUCAUUCUAAAAUUAACUGUUUUACAUUUACGUAGUUUUUAAGCUGUAAUAAAAGGUGCUUUAAUAUGUAUAACGCCAGGAAA